rfam:Dipodomys ordii contig_84593, whole genome shotgun sequence.
GGUGGCUCAGUGGUAGAGUGCGUGCCUUGCAUACAUGAGGUCCUGGGUUUAAAUCCUCAGCACCA